rnacentral:rRNA from 1 species
UACGUAGGGUGCAAGCGUUGUCCGGAAUUAUUGGGCGUAAAGAGCUCGUAGGCGGUUUGUCGCGUCUGCUGUGAAAAACGCGGGGCUCAACUCCGCGCCUGCAGUGGGUACGGGCAGACUAGAGUGCAGUAGGGGAGACUGGAAUUCCUGGUGUAGCGGUGGAAUGCGCAGAUAUCAGGAGGAACACCGGUGGCGAAGGCGGGUCUCUGGGCUGUAACUGACGCUGAGGAGCGAAAGCGUGGGUAGCGAACAGG